AAAUAAUCAGUCAUUAAUUACAUCCUCCUACUUCUUUCCCAAAAAGAAACCGAGUAUGAUGUUAGCUCCACCACUGAAUUUUUUUGAUGAGGGCUGUGAUGCUUCGGUCCCUUUGGAUGACAGCAAUGGUUAUAAAAAUCAUUCCAUACCCAAUCAUACCUUGAGAGGUGUUGAUAAAGUUGAUUUCAUCAAGGAGGAGCUUGAAAAGGCUUGGCCGGGGGGGUACUUUCAUGUGCUGAUAUUGUUUCUAUUGCCACCAGAGAUGGCAUUAUGCUGGUUGGUGGCCCUUUCUAUCUCUUUAACAGGACGAAGGGAGAGCAUUCAUUCAUAUUUCAAAGCACUGGCCGACAUUCCACAACCAGAUGAGAAAAAUGUAUGUUCUGAUUAUUGGGAGUAUCAAUUCAUUAUUCCAAUUUAAU